GUGCACGCUGGCGGUAGGCCUAACCCCUGCCAGUCGAACGGCAGCACAGUAAGAGCUUGCUCUUACGGGUGGCGAGUGGCGGACGGGUGAGGAAUACAUCGGAAUCUACUUUUUCGUGGGGGAUAACGUAGGGAAACUUACGCUAAUACCGCAUACGACCUACGGGUGAAAGCCGGGGAUCUUCGGACCUUGCGCGAUUGAAUGAGCCGAUGUCGGAUUAGCUAGUUGGCGGGGUAAAGGCCCACCAAGGCGACGAUCCGUAGCUGGUCUGAGAGGAUGAUCAGCCACACUGGAACUGAGACACGGUCCAGACUCCUACGGGAGGCAGCAGUGGGGAAUAUUGGACAAUGGGCGCAAGCCUGAUCCAGCCAUACCGCGUGGGUGAAGAAGGCCUUCGGGUUGUAAAGCCCUUUUGUUGGGAAAGAAAAGCAGCAGGUUAAUACCCCGCUGUUCUGACGGUACCCAAAGAAUAAGCACCGGCUAACUUCGUG
rnacentral:rRNA from 1 species